rnacentral:rRNA from 1 species
GAUGAACGCUGGCGGCGUGCUUAACACAUGCAAGUCGAACGGUGAAGGCGGAGCUUGCUCUGCUGGAUCAGUGGCGAACGGGUGAGUAACACGUGAGCAAUCUGCCCCUGACUCUGGGAUAAGCGCUGGAAACGGCGUCUAAUACUGGAUACGAGCUGCGAAGGCAUCUUCAGCAGCUGUAAAGAAUUUCGGUCAGGGAUGAGCUCGCGGCCUAUCAGCUUGUUGGUGAGGUAAUGGCUCACCAGGGCGUCGACGGGUAGCCGGCCUGAGAGGGUGACCGGCCACACUGGGACUGAGACACGGCCCAGACUCCUACGGGAGGCAGCAGUGGGGAAUAUUGCACAAUGGGCGAAAGCCUGAUGCAGCAACGCCGCGUGAGGGACGACGGCCUUCGGGUUGUAAACCUCUUUUAGCAGGGAAGAAGCGAAAGUGACGGUACCUGCAGAAAAAGCGCCGGCUAACUACGUG